UCUGACUGGGUGUGCACAGGGCUGAUACCUCUUGUGGGGAUUAGAGACUUCAUUCCAAGACUGCUAUGAGAUAUCCCUACAUUUGGGCACUGAAUGACAAGCCUGUAUCACCAGUACCAUGAACUGGAUCAGAGAAACAGAAGUUAACAAAGUA
rnacentral:lncRNA from 1 species